rnacentral:rRNA from 1 species
UCCUACGGGGCGCAGCAGUGGGGAAUAUUGGGCAAUGGGCGCAAGCCUGACCCAGCGACGCCGCGUGAGGGAAGACGGUCUUCGGAUUGUAAACCUCUUUCAGCAGGGAAGACAAAAGGACGGUACCUGCAGAAGAAGCCACGGCUAACUCCGUGCCAGCAGCCGCGGUAAUACGGAGGAUGCGAGCGUUAUCCGGAUUUAUUGGGUUUAAAGGGUGCGCAGGCGGAUUUUUAAGUCAGCGGUCAAAUCGUGGGGCUCAACCCCAUCCAGCCGUUGAAACUGGGGAUCUAGAGUGUGCGAGAGGU